UCACCUCCACAGACUGGCCGGCCCCCAGGCUGGGUUGGAAGAGUAUCUCUUCGAAAGGUUCACCCUCAAGCACAACUAGGAGC
rnacentral:pre_miRNA from 1 species